UCAGUUCAGCACUAAGUCACUUUGUCUUUAUGGCAAAUGUGAGAUGCAGUGUAUGGAAUGUCAAAUUUCUAGUAUGAGAAAUUAACGAUUUAAGUCCUUCUUAAAUGAGGCCAUUUACCCAUAGAGGGUGCCAGGCCCGUAUAACGUUAAUGAUUACUAGAUGGCAUUUCCAAAGAGUCGUGUUGCUUGAUAGUGCAGCACUAAGUGGGUGGUAAACUCCAUCUAAAACUAAAUAUAACCAUGAGACCGAUAGUAAACAAGUACCGUGAGGGAAAGUUGAAAAGAACUCUGAAUAGAGAGUUAAAUAGUACGUGAAACUGCUUAGAGGUUAAGCCCGAUGAACCUGAAUAUCCAUUAUAGAAAAUUCAUCAUUAUGAUUUUAAUAUUAAUAAUAUUAUAAUAAUGGUGUGCAUUUUUUCUAUAACGGACAUUGUAAUCUAUUAACAUAAAUAUAUUUAUCAUAAGAUCAAUGAUGCGUAAGUUUAUUCAAAUUAUUUUGCUUGCAAUUUAACAUAGAAUAAAUGCUCUUGAUUUGAUAAAGUGUUGAUAGAUUUAUUGUAUAUAGUGCUUAAAUAUUUAUAUUUUAUAAUAGCAUAUUAAUCAUUGAUUUUUAUGUUUAUUAUAUGCACUUAUAUGAUUAACAAUGCGAAAGAUUCAGGAUACCUUCGGGACCCGUCUUGAAACACGGACCAAGGAGUCUAACAUAUUUGCAAGUUAUUGGGUAUCAAAACCUAAUAGCGAAAUUAACAUAACUUUAAUGGGAUUAGUUUUUAGAUUAUUUAUAGUCUAUUAAUUCAAUCCCGGGGCGUUCUAUAUAGUUAUGUAUAAUAAUAUUUAUAUUAUUUAUACCUCUAACUAGAGCGUACCUUGAGCAUAUAUGCUGUGACCCGAAAGAUGGUGAACUAUACUUGAUCAGGUUGAAGUCAGGGGAAACCCUGAUGGAAGACCGAAACAGUUCUGACGUGCAAAUCGAU
rnacentral:rRNA from 1 species